rnacentral:rRNA from 1 species
AGUUUUUUUAAUUAAUAGAAAAUAUGACCUGCCCAUUGAAAAUAAAAUUUUAAAGGCCGCAGUAUAUUGACUGUGCAAAGGUAGCAUAAUCAUUAGAUUUUUAAUUGAGAUCUAGAAUGAAUGGUUAGUUGAAAUAAAAUCUUUUUUAAUUUUAAUAUUUGAAUUUUAUAAAUUAGUAAGAAAUCUAAUUUAAUAAAAAAAGACGAGAAGACCCUAUAGAAUUUUAUAAAUUUAAUUAAUUUAUUAUUAAAAUUUAAUUUAUUAUUUUAAAAUUUAUUUUAUUGGGGAGAUAUUUAAAUUUUUAAAACUUUGAAAUUUAAAUUCAUUUUAUAAAUGUAUUUUUGAUCUUUUUUUAUUGAUUAAAAAAAUAAAUUACCUUAGGGAUAACAGCAUAAUAGUUUUAAUAAGUUCUUAUUAUUAAAAAAGAUUAUGACCUCGAUGUUGAAUUAAAAUUAUUAUUAUAUGAAGGGAUAUAAUAAAUAAGUCUGUUCGACUUUUAAAAUUUUACAUGAUUUGAGUUCAAAUCGGUGUGAG